GUGUGUAGCUCAGUUGGAUAGAGCAGCGCCCUUCUAAGGCGAAGGUCGGGGGUUCGAAUCCCUCCACGCG
rnacentral:tRNA from 2 species